rnacentral:rRNA from 1 species
GAGACCCACGCCCACAGUUGCCAGCGUUCCCUCCGGGGAGAUGGGUACUCUGUGGGGACCGCCGCUGCUAAAGCGGAGGAAGGAAUGGGCAACGGUAGGUCAGUAUGCCCCGAAUGUCCCGGGCUACACGCGAGCUACAAUGGGUGGGACAAUGGGUAUCGACACCGAAAGGUGAAGGCAAUCUCCUAAACCCAUCCUUAGUUCGGAUUGUGGGCUGCAACUCGCCCACAUGAAGCUGGAAUCCGUAGUAAUCGUGUUUCAAAAUAGCACGGUGAAUAU